ACAGAGGGUGCAAGCGUUGUUCGGAAUUACUGGGCGUAAAGCGUGCGUAGUCGGUAUUGAGAGUCGCGGGUGAAAUCCCAGGGCUUAACCCUGGAACUGCCUGCGAGACCUCAGUACUAGAGUGUGAGAGGGGAUAGUGGAAUACCCAGUGUAGCGGUGAAAUGCGUAGAGAUUGGGUGGAACACCGGUGGCGAAGGCGGCUAUCUGGCUCACAACUGACGAUCAGGCACGAAAGCAUGGGGAGCAAACAGG
rnacentral:rRNA from 1 species